AGGACGAACGCUGGCGGCGUGCCUAACACAUGCAAGUGGAGCGACGAACCAGGCUUCGGCCUGGGGCAGAGCCGCGAACGGGUGAGUAACACGUGGGUAACCUGCCCUGAUGAUUGGGACAACCCGAGGAAACUCGGGCUAAUACCAAAUGUGCCCUCCGGCCUCAAGGCCUGUGGGGAAAGGAAGCUUCGGCCUCCGCAUCGGGAUGGGCCCGCGGCCCAUUAGCUUGUUGGUGAGGUAAUGGCUCACCAAGGCUACGAUGGGUAGCUGGUCUGAGAGGACGAUCAGCCACACUGGGACUGAGACACGGCCCAGACUCCUACGGGAGGCAGCAGUAGGGAAUCUUGCGCAAUGCGCGAAAGCGUGACGCAGCAACGCCGCGUGGGGGAAGAAGGCUCUCGGGUUGUAAACCCCUUUCAGUUGGGACGAAGCUUCGUCGGUUAAUAGCCGGCUGGAGUGACGGUACCUUCACAAGAAGCACCGGCUAACUACGUGCCAGCAGCCGCGGUAA
rnacentral:rRNA from 1 species